rnacentral:rRNA from 1 species
AAAGCGUGCGCAGGCGGUUAUGUAAGACAGUUGUGAAAUCCCCGGGCUCAACCUGGGAACCGCAUCUGUGACUGCAUAGCUAGAGUACGGCAGAGGGGGAUGGAAUUCCGCGUGUAGCAGUGAAAUGCGUAGAUAUGCGGAGGAACACCGAUGGCGAAGGCAAUCCCCUGGGCCUGCACUGACGCUCAUGCACGAAAGCGUGGGGGGCAAACAGGAUUAGAUACCCUGGU